rnacentral:rRNA from 1 species
GGUACACGCUGUGACUAGCAUAUCAAUAAGCGGAGGAAAAGAAACUAACAAGGAUUCCCCUAGUAACGGCGAGUGAAGCGGGAAGAGCUCAAAUUUGAAAUCUUAAAGGGUUUCCCUUUACGAAUUGUAGUUUAAAGAAGUGUUUUCUGUUGAGGUUUUGGUAAAAGUUCUUUGGAAUAGGACAUCAUAGAGGGUGAGAAUCCCGUAUUUGACCUUUACUUUCAACUUUGUGAUACACUUUCAAAGAGUCGGAUUGUUUGGGAAUGCAGUCCAAAAUGGGUGGUAAAUUUCAUCUAAAGCUAAAUAUUGGCGAGAGACCGAUAGCGAACAAGUACCGUGAGGGAAAGAUGAAAAGAACUUUGAAAAGAGAGUUAAACAGUACGUGAAAUUGUCAAAAGGGAAGCGUUUGACACCAGUGUUGUUUUUCUGAAAAUCAAUUAAAGAACUGUUUAUGCUAAGUUGUUUAGACUUUAUCAGCUAACUGUUUAGUUUUGAGCUUUUCUUUAAUGCACUUUUCAGUUAACAAGUCAACAUCAAUUUCUUUUGCUGUAGAAAAGCUUGAGGAAGGUGGCUUGAGAUUCGUCUUAAGUGUUUAUAGCCUCUUGCCUAUGCAGUCGGAGAGAUUGAGGUCUGCAGCGUAGAUCCUUCGGGGCUAAAUGCAUUUGUGCUAAGUUAUAGCAUUUUAUAGACAACUUGUUGACUAUGAUUUGUCUUGUAGCUUACUCGCUUAUGUUAUUUUACCUACGCUUAGGAUGUUGACGAGACUGUCGAUCUC